ensembl:lncRNA
AAUGUCUGGAAAUGCCCUGGGGGUCAAAGUGACUGGUAGCCCUGGGGGUCAAAGUGACUGGUAGUCCUGGGGGUCAAAGAGACUGGUAGUCCUGGGGGUCAAAGUGACUGGUAGUCCUGGGGGUCAAGGUGACUGGUACUCCUGGGGGUCAAGGUGACUGGUACUCCUGGGGGUCAAAGUGACUGGUUCUCCUGGGGGUCAAAGUGACUGGUUCUCCUGGGGGUCAAAGUGACUGGUUCUCCUGGGGGUCAAAGUGACUGGUACUCCUGGGGGUCAAAGUGACUGGUUCUCCUGGGGUCAAAGUGACUGGUAGCCCUGGGGGUCAAAGUGACUGGUUCCCCUGGGGGUCAAAGUGACUGGUUCUCCUGGGGGUCAAGGUGACUGGUUCUCCUGGGGGUCAAGGUGACUGGUUCUCCUGGGGGUCAAAGUGACUGGUAGCCCUGGGGGUCAAAGUGACUGUUAGCCCUGGG